UACGUAGGGUGCGAGCGUUAAUCGGAAUUACUGGGCGUAAAGCGUGCGUAGGCGGUCCGCAAAGUCUGAUGUGAAAGCCCCGGGCUCAACCUGGGAACUGCAUUGGAAACUAACGGGCUUGAGUGUGGCAGAGGGGGGUGGAAUUCCACGUGUAGCAGUGAAAUGCGUAGGGAUGUGGAGGAACACCGAUGGCGAAGGCAGCCCCCUGGGCUAACACUGACGCUCAGGCACGAAAGCGUGGGGAGCAAACAGG
rnacentral:rRNA from 1 species